UUACGGGAGGCAGCAGUGGGGAAUCUUGCACAAUGGGCGAAAGCCUGAUGCAGCGACGCCGCGUGGAGGAUGAAGGCCUUCGGGUUGUAAACUCCUUUUCUUGGGAAAGAUAAUGACGGUACCCAAGGAAUAAGCCACGGCUAACUCUGUGCCAGCAGCCGCGGUAAGACAGAGGUGGCAAGCGUUGUUCGGAAUCACUGGGCUUAAAGGGCGAGUAGGCGGUGGAGCAAGUCUGAGGUGGAAUCUUAGGGCUUAACCCUAAAACUGCCUUAGAAACUGUUUCACUUGAGUCAAUGAGGGGAGGGCGGAAUUCCUGGUGUAGCGGUGAAAUGCGUAGAUAUCAGGAGGAAGGCCUGUGGCGAAAGCGGCCCUCUGGCAUUGUACUGACGCUGAGGCGCGAAAGCGUGGGGAGCAAACAGGAUUAGAUACCCCUGUAGUCC
rnacentral:rRNA from 1 species